ACCAAUGAAGGGCAAUGUAGGAGGUAGCAUAGAGAACAUCAGCAGGAGGGUUCAACAUCACCUUCAUCAUCAAACUUCAAGGGUCUCAAAGACAGCUUUUCACCUGGACAUUUAGUCGGUUCUGCCAGCAACGGAGCUGAGAUCUCUUGGAAACUGCAGUGGAUGGAGUGGAAGUUGCCAAAGUUACCAUCCAGCUCCACUGGUGGAAGAGUCCUGUUGCCAUCACUGGCUGGCCGUCCCUCCUCACUUCACUGAAAAUGCUUCCAGC